AUGGGAGAGAAAAGUCUCAUGUCAACAUCGUUGUCAUUAGACACAUAGAUUCGAGCAUGUUCAUCACUUCUGACCAUCUGGUCUAAAACUGUGGUGGGAUUGACAAAAGAACCACUGAAAAUUUUGAUAAGGAGGCUGGUGAGUGGGAGAGGACUUCUUCAAGUAUGCUUGGCUGAGCAAGAACAGGGCAUCACCAUUGAUAUCUCCCUGCAGAAAUUUGAGACCAGAAAGUAUUACGUUACUAUCACUAAUGCCCAAGGACAUAAAGACUCCAUCAAAAACAUGAUUAUAGGAAUCUCAGGCAGACUGUGCUGUCCUAUUUGUUGCUGCUGGUGUUGGUGAUUUUAAGAUGGUAUCUCAAAGAAUUGAUGGACCUAUGAGCAUUCCCUUCUGACUUACACACUGGAUGUGAAAUAACUAAUUAUCAAUGUUAACAGCAUGGAUACUACUGAGCCACCCUACAGCCAGAAGAGACAUGAGGAAAUCAUUAAGGAAAUCAGCACUUACAUUACAAAAAUUGCCUAUAACACUGAAGCAGUACUAUAUGUGCCAAUUUCUGAUUGGAAUGGGACAAAAUGCUGGAGCCAAGUACUAACAUGUCUUGGUUCAAGGGAUAAAAAGUCACCUAUAAAUAUGGCAAUGCCAAUGGAACCAUGCUGCUUGAAGCUUUUUGUUGCAUCCUACCACCAACUUGCCCAACUGACAAGUGCUUUCAUCUACCCUUCCAGAGGUCUGCAAAGUCAAUGGUAUUGAGCCCUGUGCACUGAAUGGAGACAGUGUUCUCAAAUCCAGAACGGAUGUCACCUUUACUCCAGUCAACAUUACAACCAAAGUAAAGUCUGUUGAAAUGCACAAUGAAGCUUUGAGUAGAGCUCUUCCUGGGGAUAAUGUAGGCUUCAAGAAUGUGUCUAAGAUGUUUGUCAUGGCAACACUGCUGGUAACAACAAAAUGAUCCAUCAAUGGAAGCAGCUGGCUUCAUUGCUUAGAUGAUUUUCCUGGACCAUCCAAGCCAAAUCAGUGCUGGCUAUGCCCUUGUGAUGGAUCAUCACACAGCUUACAUUGCUUUCAAGUUUGCUGAGCUGAAGGUAAAGAUUGAUUGCUGUUCUAGUUAGAAGCUGGAAGAUGGCCCUAAAUUCCUGAAAUCAAGUGAUGCUACCACCAUUGAUAUGGUUCCUGUCAGGUGCAUGUUUGUUGAGAGCUACUCUGAUUGUCCUCUCUUGAAUCAUUUUGCUGUUUGCAAUGAGACAGACAGUUACUGAAGGAGUCAUCAAAGCAGUGGACAAGGAGCCUGCUGGAAAUGUCAAGGUCACUAAGUAUACCCAGAUACCUCAGAAGACUAAAUAA
rnacentral:lncRNA from 1 species